CGCGCAAGGGAAUCCAAGGCUAAAGGAGGCCUGACAAAUAGUUUGAAAAGAACACAAAACCCUCAGUCCCACUCUAGUAUGUCCUCUCCUAGGAGACAAGGAGUCCCGUAACGUCUAUAAACACAACUGCUGUCCAGGACCGUUACAAACUAAAUGGGAAAUUAUGCUUUCCUUUCUCAGCAUGAUGGUGCUGGGGUCACUAUCCGACACUUUCACAUGGUGCCCCCAUUUGACCAAGUGGAAAACUGUACACAUCCUGCUAGGAUCAGGAGCACAGACUGGGCCACAGAAUGCAGUAUUUAGCCAAAAGGUCCAGUGAGGAGUAAACCAAUAAUCUUGACCUGUCAAAUGCAGGCUGUGCUGUAAAUGCCCUUCACCUUCUGUGCCCUCCAAAUGGCCAUGAAAACAGUCUAAGUCCAGGGCUUCAAAACAAAAAUUAGGUCAAGCACUCUGUGUAUGUUAAGAGGAGGCAGGAUGAGAUGCUGAGAAGAAAAAUCACUAUGUGCCUCCCAACUUACUAACUAGUUGAGAAAACAGCAAAAAGAGGGGCAACAAAGUAAAAAUAUAGUAAACACGGCAUGAACAAAGUUCAGUGGAGAUGAAAGAUAAGGAAACAUUACUUCCGAAAGAUUUCAUGAAGGAGGGUAGGCUUUUCAAAGUGGUUAAGUUAUAAAAUCCAUGAUUGCCCGGCAACCAGGGGCACUGCCUGGAGUUACAACACAACCAACUUAACAGUUCCGGGUGAGAGGCCAUGGCGUCUUCAGCAUCACUGAGCUCCGAGCACCUACAGAACACGUUCCAAACCUUUGCCCUCUGGACUGAGAUGAAUCGGACAAAGGGUGAUGAGGAGGAAUAUUGGAACAGCUCCAAGUUCAAGGCUUUUACCUUUGAUGAUGAAGAUGAUGAGCUGUCACAGUUAAAGGAGUCCAAGCGAGCGGUCAACAGCCUUCGAGACUUCGUGGACGAUGACGAUGACGACGACCUGGAGAGAGUCAGCUGGGGCGGGGAACCUGUGGGAAGUAUCUCAUGGUCCAUCAAAGAGACCGCUGGUACCAGUGUGUCAAACCAUGAAGGCCGCGAACAGCUAAAGAGCCGAAACAGCUUCUCCUCCUAUGCACCACUACCCAAACCUACUUCUACCUACUCCCUGAGCAGCUUUUUCAGAGGGAGAACUAGACCUGGAAGCUUCCAGUCUCUUUCUGAUGCUUUGUCGGACACACCUGCCAAAAGCUAUGCUCCAGAGCUGGGGAGACCCAAGGGGGAGUAUAGGGAUUACAGCAAUGACUGGAGCCCCAGUGACACAGUGCGACGCCUCCGGAAGGGCAAGGUCUGCUCACUAGAAAGAUUCCGCUCCUUACAGGACAAGCUACAACUCCUAGAAGAGGCAGUAAGCAUGCACGAUGGAAACGUCAUUACUGCAGUUCUGAUCUUCCUGAAGAGGACGCUGAGCAAAGAGAUCCUCUUCCGAGAGCUGGAGGUGCGACAGGUUGCCCUGCGACAUCUCAUUCACUUCCUUAAGGAAAUAGGGGAUCAAAAGCUGCUUUUAGACCUCUUUAGGUUCCUAGAUAGAACAGAAGAGCUUGCGCUAUCCCAUUAUCGAGAGCACUUGAACAUUCAGGACCCUGAGAAACGAAAAGAAUUUCUUAAGACCUGCAUUGGUUUGCCAUUUUCAGCAGAAGAUUCUGCACACAUCCAAGACCAUUACACGCUCCUGGAACGUCAGAUCAUUAUCGAGGCAAAUGACCGACAUCUAGAAGCAGCGGGACAGACUGAGAUGUUCCGGAAGCACCCCCGGAAAGCUUCCAUCCUCAACAUGCCGUUAGUGACGACGCUUUUCUACUCCUGCUUCUACCAUUACACGGAGGCUGAGGGGACAUUCAGCAGUCCGGUCAACCUGAAGAAGACAUUUAAGAUCCCAGACAAACAGUAUGUGCUGACAGCCCUGGCUGCUCGCGCCAAGCUUCGAGCCUGGCAUGAUGUGGAUGCCCUCUUCACCACAAAGAACUGGCUGGGCUACACCAAGAAGAGAGCACCCAUUGGCUUCCAUCGAGUUGUGGAAAUUUUGCAUAAGAACAGUGCCCCUGUCCAGAUAUUACAGGAGUAUGUCAAUCUGGUGGAAGAUGUGGACACAAAGUUGAACUUAGCCACCAAGUUCAAGUGCCAUGAUAUCGUCAUUGAUACUUGCCGGGACCUGAAGGACCGUCAGCAGUUGUUAGCAUAUAGGAGUAAGGUGGAUAAAGGAUCUGCAGAGGAGGAGAAGAUUGACGCCAUUCUCCACAGCUCGCAAAUUCGAUGGAAGAAUUAAGUGGCAUUAGUUACCCUGAAAGCUGCCUCAUUUCUUCCUUUCCUCCGUGUGAAAGUAGAGAGUGCUCUUCUGUGGGAGAGUUCCAGCAUCACAUCGUUUGGGCCCGUCGUCAGCAGGCAGUACCUGCUUCCUCUUGGGACAGAAGCCAGCGCCUGGGCACAAACAGCUUCAGACUGACCUUCUGUCCAAGGCCAUCAUCUAAGGGCCAAGACCUAAAGCUUUGACUUAUGAGAAGGAUUCUCUCCACCUGGUGCUCACGUGAAGAAUAAUGAAAUAAUUGCCCUGUCUCUUGGGACCACUACAAGUCUGCCUCAGUCACUGCAUUCAGCAGCCUAUCAACACAUGUUUGGUUUUGGAGUAACUGCUUAUGGGAAAGCAGGGCCGUGUGGUUAACAGAGGGAGCACUGAGCUGGGAGACUAAAGACCUGGCCUCUUGUCCCAGCUCUACCACUGUCAAGCUGUGUGACGCUGGGUGAGUCCCUUUCUCUCUGGACUCGUUAUCUUCAUCUGUAAUAGGAGGGCGUGAUUCUCUCAGAGCUUAUCUAUGUUCCUGUGACUGGAGUGGGUGAAGUGGUGGGAGGAAAAGAGAAGAUGCUCAUACGGAGGCACACGACAUGCUUUAGGGCAAUGUGGUUCUCACCUGGAGGCAAUUUUGCCCCCAGGAGGUGUGUGUCAAUGUCUGGAGACACUUUUUGUUGCACAACUGGAUGGUGCCACUGGCAUCUAGUGGAUACAGGCAAGGGAUGCUGCUAAACAUCCUGCGAUGCAUGAGACAGCCCCUACAAUGGGGAAUUAUCCUUCCCAAAAAGUCAGGAAUACCAAUGCUGAGAAACACUGCUUUAAAGGAACCAGACUCCAACUUUUGCUCCUCCUCUUUGUAAUCCCCUUUGCAAAUUCCAGGUAACCUCACAUUUCGUUCCUUUCCUGAUCAUCUCUCUUGCUAAUAAGGAAACAGGAGCUUAAUUUGCUAAGUUGUGCUAAAGUUAUUGGCUCAUCUUCAGAGAAACAGUUGUAACUUUAUUAACUAGUCUAUCAGGGUUCAUUUAGAGAAGCAGAUUGCUAGGAGUCAAUUGUUCCCUCUCUCUCUCGCAUCUGUAUGUGGGAUUCAUUACAGGGAUUUGACCUUACUCAAGUAUGGCAGUUGGUUAAACAGUCUCUGGAAGGUUGUCUUCAUGUCUGGCAGUAGAGCUGGAAAUCCAUAGGGCAGACAGUAGGGAAGGGAAGAAGGGUAUAAAGUGAGGGAGAGCAGGGACAGCCUGGAGCCCAUGGGAAUGGAUGGGAACCUGUGUCAGUGUCAGUUCUUACUGCCUGCAACCUUGAUGAAAGGGGUGUCCUGCAGAAGCUAGCUGGUGGUCUUUGUCACAGAGCUCAACACCCCUGGGCCAGGAGUGUGAGAAGCUGCGGGAAGACCCAGAGGAAGGUGUCGCAGGCUCAGCUGCUACCCCAACCAACAGAGUCACCAGCAGUUAACUGAAGUGCCUGCCGACCUUGCAAGCAUAACUACAAAGUGGCUGCUGUUUCACUUCCACCCUCCAGAUCUUGCACAAAAAUCUUUAUGCAUUCUCACUGGAAACAUACAGGGAAGGGAAUUCUGGCAAAUCUAGGUCAGCCUAGCCAACUUGACAUAUUACAAAGCCAUAACCACUGAAUCCCCAGUUUUGAGAAUGUGUAAGUGAAGGAUGGGCCUAGGAUCCAUGUUGAUACAAGUUAACUGGUGCUGUGCUUGUCAUGCUGACCUGGGAAGUGUUGAGCCGGUCUUUCCUUUAGAGCAGGAAACUUCACUUGCAACAUUUUAGUCUAAGGAAGUGUUUGUUAGACUUGAGAACUUGCACGUGCCUCAGUUCAAGUGCUGGAGACUGCUUUUAAAGAGAUUGAGAGGGUGACAUAACAGCCCUCCUCUAAAAACGAUUAAAGAAGGCAGACAUCAAAAGUCACGUAUUGUAUGAUUCCCUUCAUAUGAAAUAUCCAGAAAAGGUAAAUCCAUAGAGACAAAAGCAGAUUGGUGAUUGCCAGGGCCUGAGGGCAGGUGGGGAAUGGGAGGACAGUAAUCCCUCCUUAUCCACAGUUUCGCUUUCUGAGGUUUCAGUUACUUGUGGUCAACUGAGGUCCAAAAUAUUAAAUGGAAAAUUCCAGAAAUAAUUUGUAAGUUUUAAAUUGCUUGUCGUUCUGCGUGGCGUGAUGAAAUCUUGUGCCGUCCUGCUGCAUCCUGCCCGGGACAUGAAUCAUCCCUUUGUCCAGCUCCAGGCUGUACACACUACCCGCCUGUUAGUCACUAGUAGCCGUCUCGGUUAUCAGAUCGCUGUCUCGGUAGCACAGUGCCUGUGUUCAAGUAGCACUUUACUUAAUAACGACCCCAAAGUACAACAGUAGUGAUGCUGGCAGUUCGCAUAUGCCAAAGAGAAGCUAUGAAGUACUUCCUUUCAGUGAAAAGGUGAAAGUUCUCAAUAAGAGAAGAAAAAAAUCGUUGUCUGAGGUUGCUAAGAUCUACAGUAACUUUUAUUACAGUGUAUUGUUAUAAUGGUUCUAUCUUAUUAUUAGUUGUUAGUCUCUUACUGUGCCUAAUUUAUACAUUUAAUUUAUACAACUUUAUCAUAGGUGUGUAUGUAUAGGAAAAAACGUAGUAUAUGUAGGAUUCGGCACUAUUCACAGUUUCAGGCAUCCACUGGAGGUCUUGGAACGUAUCUCCCAAGGACAAGAGGGGACUCUUGUAAAUGCUUAAUUGGUGUAGGACUUCCUUUGGGGGGAAUGAAAAUGUUUUGGAACUAGAGAGAGGUCGUGGUUCCACAAUGUUGUGAAUGUACUGAAUAGUUCAUUUUAAUUGGCUGUGUUAUGUGAAUUUCACUUCAAAAUUUUUUAAUUUACAAAGAGGAUUAGAGAUGAGUAGUUUUGAAUUCUAUCUCAAUUUCGCCAUUGCUAUAAAAUAGAUUAGUUUUGAAUAUCUUUGAUUUCUGUUUUUCCAACUUUAUUGAGGUAUAAUUGACAAAUAAAAGUGGUUUAUAUUUAA